UUGCGUGUGCGUGUGCGCUUGACACGGCAGGUCUGGCGGUGGCGUAGGAGGAAGUGGUGAGCGUUCGCACACACAUUGUGGAGGUAAGUUUGCAAAAGCUGCUGCGACUUUCUGCCUCAUCUCCACGGUCCGCGAGGCCGCGUCUUCUCCUUCUGCCGACCCCGACCGGACUCGGUCUCGCGUUCUGAGGGUACGUGAGGUUUUGGAGGCCGCGGAGGACCGUUGCCAGGGCUACGGAUCAUUCUGAUUGGCUCCGAACCCUCCCUAUCCUGCAGACCGGGACGUCUCGGGAGCUGCAUUUGUUCUGAGCAGUAACAGACGAGUCAAAAGGGCAAACGUAGGCCCCCUACUCCCGGUCGGCUACAGAAGUUUCCGCAAUCGUCAGAAUGCCGGUCGACGCCGACGGGCCACUCAAUUAUUCUUCCAACGAGAGCGUUUGGAUGUCUCCGUCGUGCGGCCGCCCUCCCGUCACGUGGACCCGCCACGUCUUCACGGUGGUCUACGGCCUGCUCUUCCUGACAGGUUUGCUGCUCAACGGCGUGACGUUGAAAAUGUUUCUGCGCGGCGCCCGCUCGUCCCGCUGCGUUACCGUCUACCUCAAGAACCUGGCGGCCGCCGACUUCCUGCUGAGUCUUUGCCUUCCCUUCCGCAUCGCCAAGCAUGCCGGCGCUUGGCGACCGCUGCUCCGGGCCUACUGCAGCUUCGGGGCGCCCGCCUUCUACCUCAACAUGUACGCCAGCAUCCUGUUCAUGGGCUACGUCGCCGCCAACAGGUACCUGAAGAUCGUGCGUCCGUCGCGGACCCCCGUCCUGCAGUCGGCGGCGGCGGCUCACGCGGUCUCGGCGGCCACGUGGCUCGUCCUUCUCACCCUGACGGGGGCCUACAUCGUCGUGUCGCUGGUCGCUCUGCCGGCGGACGACGGCGACGCGGCGACCUGCGAAGACCUCCAAAGCCAGCUCCUCAAGAGCUUCUACAAGGUGGUUCACGGCUUCUCGGCCGCCGUGUUCCUGCUGGUCCUGGCGGCGCUGCUGUUCUUCUACUGCGGCACCUCCCGUAGGCUGGCGGCCGCGCAACGCCGGCGGGCGGGGUCCUCCGGCGCCCGGAAGCUGGCCAAGUCUCGGCGGAAAAUCCGGGUCCUGGUGAGCGUCUUCUGCGUGUGCUUCGUGCCCUACCACCUGGUCCGCCUGCCGUACGCCGUGCUGAAGCCUUCCGGCUGCUCGGCCCGGACGGCCUUUUUCUACCUGAAGGACGUCACCGUGGCUGUGUCGGUUUUCAACAUCUGCCUGGACCCGCUCAUUUACUUCCUCUUCUGCGACGCCUUCCGGCACCGACCGAAACGGAGCCGCGCAGCCGCCACCCCGGAGGCUCGGCCGUUCGGCGGCGGCCUGCGGUCACGGAAGAUGUCCGACUGUCCUUCCAGUAUUUGCCUGACUUGACUGUCACCUUGUUUCUCUGAUAAAGUUCUGAAGUAAGAAUAAUUUUAUUGUGUUGUUUUUCCAUAAUUAAAAGAUGUUUCGCAAUAGCUUCGUAUAUGUUUCGCAAUAGCUUUGUAUAACCUAAAAGACGAUCGCCAUAGCUUUGGAUAACCAGCAAUGUCAUAAAAGGAUGUUUGGAUAACCAGCAAUGUCAUAAAAAGAUGUGCUCGUGUUAUAUGAUGUCGUGCAACGCCAUCUGUUGGUAACAAAGAAUAGCGUGGCGUCAGGCGGGAUGAAUUGGCCACUCACCCCUCCUUCCGCACACGCUUAGAGUAUAAAAGGAGAACUUUGGAUACUCUCGGUAGAGUCUGCUGCGGGUUGCGUACGGACGCCCAGCCGGUAUUGAAGCUGCUCUACCUGGAGUGUUGGCUCUCCCUCCUAUUGGCGCACGAGGAGGAAGGGCGCUCCGUCAUGUUGUACUUGAUGAAGACUUCCAGCUAAGACGUCUGACAUCGUGAAAACAAAUGCAAAGAAUGAAACAAUUUUGCCUUUAUUUUAACAUCUGCUCCUUCAGACAAAUAUUGACUGAUUCAUCGAGGAAUCUCAACGCAUCAGUUUGG